rnacentral:tRNA from 8 species
CGGGAAGUAGCUCAGCUUGGUAGAGCACUUGGUUUGGGACCAAGGGGUCGCAGGUUCGAAUCCUGUCUCCCCGA